rnacentral:rRNA from 1 species
UACGUAGGGGGCUAGCGUUGUCCGGAAUCAUUGGGCGUAAAGAGCGUGUAGGCGGCUCGGUAAGUCCGCUGUGAAGGUCGGGGGCUCAACCCUCGAAUGCCGGUGGAUACUGUCGAGCUAGAGUGCGGAAGAGGCGAGUGGAAUUCCUGGUGUAGCGGUGAAAUGCGCAGAUAUCAGGAGGAACACCGAUUGCGAAGGCAGCUCGCUGGGACGUUACUGACGCUGAGACGCGAAAGCGUGGGGAGCAAACAGG